AGACCAAAUAAAUUUCUUAUGGUUUACUUGGUUCACCGAAACAUUUUGCCAAUGAGAAAAAAAAUAUAGUGAUCGAAAACUGAACGAAUCUGGUUACAAUGCUCGCAACGAAAUCAUACUGCAGCAGUAACUGUUCCGCGUCAAGGGCGAAAAUGAGACACAAAAAUUCCGGCAGAUACAAACAGAAGUGAUGGAUUUAUUGAGGAUUACAUCAAAUAAUCCAGGAGCUGUGAAUCAGUAAACAAAAAUGGAUAAAGUCGAAACCAAAGAAGAAGAUUCUGAAAUAAUCUCGGAAAGUGUAG